rnacentral:tRNA from 1 species
AUAGGUAUAGCUCAGUGGUAGAGUACAUGCUUAGCAUGCAAGAAGUCCUGGGUUCAAUCCUCAGUACCUCCA